UACUACAAGGUGAGUAAUCAAACCAAACUCUUAAUUAAUUUAAGUUACAUAUAUGUGCAGUAGCCGGUACGGUCUAUGUUUUUACGAGCUAAACCGGCAAGGAAGAAGGUGAUUCUUAACUGAGAAGUUAAAUAGCCAAGAAAGAAUACACGAAAAACUUUUUUUUGGUGCUCAGCCUGGCUUUUAGAACAGCUUCUCUACUUGAGAAGCAUCUAGUGUAUGGUAAGGAUAAAAGUCUACCUGCAACAUGCAACAAAAUUAAGCUUUUGGCCUCAAAAGCAAAAACUUAAAUUUGAAGCCACUACUUAUAACUGCAGCUGGAAGCUGUUGGCGCAUCUUAUUAGCCAAAAGUGAUAAGCUCUUUCAUACAGUUCUAUCUAAGAGGGCAUUUGUAUAAGAAUGGUGACCCAGUAAGGUCAAUACAAGCCCAUGUUAUAGUAAUUUGGGAAUUGAAACACCAAGCAUCGUUAAAUCAAUGUAUAAGAAUGGCGACUACCACGACCCUAACACAGCUGCGGAUGGAACAGAAACCCUAUAUUUAUUAAGUGAUUAAGAAUAACUUGAAUUUUUAAAAUUAUUCAAAAUAAAAUUAAAAAUCUAAGAGGGCAUUUGUAUUACUUUGAAUGUUUAGAGAGGUGUUGAGGAUGUUGUCCUAACGAUAACAAGAUAUAAAAAUUCCCACGGGACAUAACAGAGCAAAUUUAGGGCAUGCAAACACUAAAGAGGAGAAAUCUUUCAUAAAUUCAUGAAAUUUAUAUUUUCAGAAAAUAAUUCGAAAUUUGAAAAACAAGAAUAGUUCUUAAUAGAAUAGAAAUAAUAUAAAUCAGUCAUUAAAAAAUAUAUAUAUGAGAAAAGAGAUAUCUCACCUACGACUCGGCAUUGAUCGCAGUAUAUCGACUUCGAUCUCAGCACGUCCUCCUCCACGACGCUGAGCUCGACCACGGCCGCGUCCGCGUCCGCCGCGGCGGCGUCGCCGACGCGGAACGCCAUCCGCCACGUCAGCAGGUGCGGCGGCGCCGCCGCGGCGGGGGGCGAGAGGAUCGAGGGCGGCGGGAGGAGCCGAGCGUGCCGCGACAGGAACUCCCCCACGCUCCACCGGAACGGCCCCUCGAACCCCUCCGCGGCGACGGCGCCGCCCUUAUCUGUGCCGCCGCCGCCGCCGGGGAAGGUGAAGAAAUCGCAGAGAUCGGCGGUGACCCGCCGCUUGGCGCGCUUGAGGGGUCGCCCGUUCACCACCAUCGCGUCGGAUCCCGUCGCCGCUAGAUCCCGCCGCGGUUCCGCCACGAACGGCGCCGUCGAUCGGCUAGGGUUAGGGUUUCCGAUUUGGGGAACAGCGAUCGGGGGUUGGGGAUCAAACUAGGGUUAAGGAAUCUCGGGGGGUAGGGUUAGGGUUGGGGUUAGGGUUACGGGCGUGAGAUAAAGAGGUGGGAGGAGAGAGAGGGCGAAGGGACGGAGGAGAUCGAUCGAAGCGCCUCGCGAAGAGAUAACUACGGUUAAGUUAUUAUGGUUAGGAUUAGGGUUAGGGUUUGAAUCGGGGGGGUGGUUGGGGUCAGGGUUUCCCCGAAAAGAGAGCGGGCGAAUUGGGCGAGAGUUAAAGACCGCGCCCUAAUUUUGGGAUUUUAUUUUAUUUUAUUAUUUUGUUAUUUAUUUUCCUUAUGGCGGUGCGCCCUUCUCUCUCCCAUGUAACCGUGAUAUGUCACGGUUUUGAAUAUAGAAUAUAUAGAAUACAUAGAUCAUACAGGGAUUUGUGAUAUGGGCCCACUUUGGUAGUGAUAUAGAAGCGGUACAUUGUAGAAUUCAAUUGCUAGAGGCUUUGCAUAGGCAUCCAAUGUUUAGAGCUAGAGAACUUAUUAAAAUUUAAAUUUAAAAUUUAAAUAAAACAAAUAGAAUUUAAUAAAUUAUUUUUAGUUUCUUUUUUUAAAGUUAUAGUAGAUCAUGAAACCCGUGUAAUAUUUAUACAUGGCACGGUGCGUGCAAUAAUUUCUCUAACUCCAGAGAUUUUGAAUCACGAAAUAAAAAAAAAAAAAAACCACAAUUCAGAAGAUUUAGACCGGGGACUCUUUUUCCGUUUUGAGGAGAUUUAGACCGGGUUUAGUGGAUCUCCCUGUAACGCCCGUGUAUCACGGGCUGUUUGACACUGACAUGUGGUCCCCACUGCGCGGCGUGGGGACCACAUGUUAGACGGGAGACCAACGCCGGAAAAGAUGGGAUCGAUUCCACGUGGCAGCACCCCCCGGAGCUACGAUUCUGUUUGGACCCAAACAGCGUUGCUGCGGCUGCGGUGGAUCCACGUCGUCCAUCAGCUGGAUCGUCGGAUGAGAUGUCGACUUUUGAAAAUACCCAUAUUAAAAUUAAAAAUAUAAAUAAAAUAAAUGUUCUGAAAGAGAUCCCCGAACUUCACUUUUAUAUAUAUAUAUAUAUAUAUAUAUAUAUANUAUAUAUAUAUAUAUAAAACCUCAUAACUUCCAUUUUCCAUUCCCAAACUUGUGAGUCUGAAAUUCCAUACUGGAAAAAGAUAUAUAUUUCACUUUAGUCCUCAAAAAAAAAAAGAAAAAAGAAAAAAGAAAAAAGAAAUUACACCUUGCAAGUGGUUCAUUUGCAGCUUGUACAUGCAUACACUAUAAAUCCAUUGAUUCUUCCCCUUCUCACGGUUUUAAUAUGAUAAACCAAACUUUGGAAACAUAGAAAAGAUUAUAACUCAAAAGGAUAAUAGGAUUUAAGAAAAUAACGCCAACGAAUGCAUGGUACAUGAUUGUUUAGAUGCACCAGGCAAAAUGUUUUCCCUUACAAUUACCUUAGUGAUAAUAAAGGCUCAAAUGUUCAGCUUAAAAGUUCGAUGCUCAAAACAAAAUUUGAGCUUAAACCUCAAAAGUCAAAAAAAAAAAAAAAAAAAAAAAUCAGAGCAAUAAAACGAGGCAUGAGAUUGAUUGGGAAAUACAACAUAUAGCGAGCACAGAUGUAAGGAGUAAUGACGUCAAACAACAUUGCAAAAUCCAAAUAAUAAUAUGAACAUGAGUACUAACACUGACCUUUUGAAUCGUUAUCUUACAAAAUGGUCUCUUCCCUCUGAAUAUGUCCGAAGAUGAUUGCGGCCGCAACUUAUUUCAUUCAUUUUGAGUUUUGAUCAUUUUCAAACCCAUUUCAUCCCAAAACUGUAUAGGACAAAAGAGUUAAUUCAAUGAAUAGCAUUCAAUGAAGAGCAAAAUGAACUUUUUGUUCUUCACAAAGUAUGCAAAAUGAACCAACAAUGUACAAAAUUUCUGCUGAUGCAUACCAGCAGCAAUAAGCAAAAUGAUUAAAAUAAAAAGCAGUGCGACAUUGAAUACGGCAGUAAGAAACUGGAGAGGGAAAAUCACAUACCAUUGUAUAGGGAUACCCUAACUUAAGGUGCGCUUAUUGAAGGACUCCAUGGUUAAGUUAGCUGUAAACGCUUGUAUGGAAUUCAUCUUCUUUAUGAAUAUCUCGACCUGCAAAUUACAAAUUUUAAUCAAGGCACCUUAUAUUUCUACAGUGAAAUUCCCAUGCGAGCACUAAUAGUGUGAUAGUAGGCCAAACUGUGACCAGUACAGAUGAACGAUGCAAUACAAGUGAAACUUAUUAAACCUGAAAAUGAAUGGUUCGACAUAGUUAUGCACAAAAUAGUUAAGUGAAAAGAAGCUACGGUAGAUGUUUUGAGUGCCAUCAUCACUUUCUUCUAUUUCAACAUAGGGGUUUGGUCUUAAAAAUAAUUGCUUAAUAGCUUCUUAAAUCACAUUUGCAUUAACGACAAGCAUCUAGUUUUAGGGCAUAAGAGUUCGCUUUUGUAAAAAAGACAACGUAUUGGCACCUGAUGAGAAAUCUCUGGCUGUGAAAUGUACUCGUUAACCUGUCGCACCAAAGAGGUAAAUGUGAGGAUCACGUAAGAGACUGCACAAUAGAAUCAGCAAUCAUUUGGUAGAGAUGUUAGCCUACCACAAUGUUAGUGGUUCCUGAUUCAUAUUCAAAUUCAAGCUUUUCAUCAUCACUUUGUGCAUAAAUAGACUGCAGCGUAAAUCUUGUCACAGGAAUGCCAUUAGGACGUUGCUGAUCGUCCAUUACAAUCUAAAUAAACAAAGACAAACAUUAUAAUAAAAUAAAACUUAGGUUUCUUUUCCAGACUAGUAUAUACAUGAGCAUAAUUCAACUUCCCCCUAUAUGGUUUUAUCUAUAUAAGCAUCACCUUAUAACCAAAAAGUGAGCAACAAGCCCUUCGGAAAACUGAUAUUUUCUCUGCAAAAACUGCCUUAUACCUGCUCCAUUAUGCACGCAUGCAAAAGUUAUUGACAAAUAUCAGUAAGAAUCUUUAUAUUACUGAGGAUUAAAGACACAAUCUAAUAAUAGUCACCUUUCCUCACGUUUCUCAAGUAUAGCAAUUUGACUCUUGAGUUGUACUAACUUUUCAGGUAUGUUGGCAUCUAUUAUCUUUCCCACAUCUGUGAAUUUAGAGAUGCAAGCCAUUAGAUCCAUGAAAAUCUACCAAUGUUUGUUGACAAAUAAAUUAUCAUGCAACUCAUAAAAGAAGUGUUAACAUAUCAAACUAGCCAGUCACGCGUGCACGACUGCACGUACAAUGGAAUAUAUAUAUAUAUAUAUAUAUAUAUAUAUAUAUAUAUAUAUAUAUAUAUAUAUAUAUGUGUGUGUGUGUGUGUGUGUGUGUGUGUGUGUGUGUGUGCUGACUUACGGGGAAAACAUACCGACGGAACACUACUAAACAAGUGAGUGAAUUGGAAACAUGUGAAAGUGUGCAAACACUAAUGUAGAUACCCGUGAUUGAAAAUCCAUGAACAGAAGUACUCAAACCAUCAAAGAACUAAAGGCAAUCUCUUUAUAGUUCUAAUAAAUCAAGAUGUUUUACCAGAUUGUCCUUUCAACUCUUCAACAGCUUGCAAUUUCUCCUGCGUUCUUUUCAGUUCAGCUUGUAGUGCUUCUAUAGUAUGUUUGGCCUCAUUGUCAACUGCCAAAGUAUUGACCAUUCUCAGCACCUUUGUGCUUGAUGCACAGUAAUCACCAUGACCCAACUGAUUAAAGACAUAAAUUGAUGGUAUGUUAUUUUAUUGUCAAACAAAGGCCUUAGAGAGCAUGGAUAGUACAAAGCACAGUGGAAGGUAUCUUAAUAUCAGCACUGCAAGCUAAAGUAGGAUUCAAAAGAUUUAUUGUCAGCAAACAGCUAUUUUGCACCAAAUAUCAUGCAAACAUAGUGGCACAUUUCUGAUAAAGUCAUGCAUGAGAAUAAACAUCUUUCAUGGAAAUAGAUGGAAGCCUUUGAGUUAACUAUAAAAUCAAGGGUUUUGUCUCUCAACACCUUAAGAAAUUUUCAUCAGUUAAUUUGUUAAAAUAGGCUCACAAACAGCAGCAGAGAUGCAACUGAAAAUAAGGAAAAGACAUAACAGAGAAACAAUCCUUUGACAAGUCAUGAUCCUUUGACAAUUCAUAGAAUCAUCAAUUUAAUUUGUGGUUAAAAGAAGAUACCUUUGACUCUAGCAAAGCUAUCUCAGAACGCAAGCGGUCACCCUCACGCUCCAAAGACUUCACUUUCCUUGCUUCAACAUUCAGUUUUUCAUUCAUUAGUUCUAAUUCUUCAUGCUGAUGACUAAGUAGUUCUCUCAGUUGAUGUAAACUAUUUUCCAUUUCUCUAAUACUAUUCUCUUUUUCAGCAAGAUCCUGUGAUCCCACAUGAAGCAAAAAUCAGAGAUCAAAGGGCAACAUACAGUGAUGUAAUCUGUACAUAAUAGAAUGUUGUCUAACCUUAAGUAAUGUUUCAUUUGUAUGCCCUGCUUUCUGCUUAUCUAAAACGAAAGAAUCCUUCUUUAGCCUGUCUCUCUCUUCAGUAACUGAAGCAAGCUGUUUCUCACAAGCAGAGAUAUCCAUAUUAGUUUAAAGCAGUUAAAAGGGAAAAAGAAACAACUACUUUAUGUGGCUACAUGAAUAAACAACUAGACGUAUGAACUGGCAAGACGGUCAUAUUACCAUCAAUUCAAGCCUCUUGGCCCCCAAAGCAGCACUCUCUGCUUUCUCUUUGGCCAAAGCAGAUUCAUUUUCAGCAUGUUGUCUACUAAGGCUAGCAUCCUCAAGCUUAACCUCCAAUUCCUUCAAGCUUGCACUAAUCUCACCAACUUUAAUCAUGUUUUCAAUUACUUCUCUAGUGAAAACACAAAAUAUUUUACAUGUCAAACAAAUCAAAUUUGAUAUGAAGCAUAAUAAGCAUUAGGAUCUGCAUAGAAUCUUCAAAACAGAAGAUCAACAAAAAGAGUACUUAACAGAAACAAGCCCAUAUUGCCUAGCUUAAGAGGUAAUUUAAGACUAGAAACAGCAACUAGUGAUACAAAACAAAAUUAUUAGAACCAUCUUAAAAGGUGAAUACGUACUUUUGCAGGGCUGCAAAUUUUUUGGGUAUAUCAUCAUAACAUGAUACAUCAGGUAUCUCUCUCAGCAAUGAUUUCCAUGACAACAACUCAAGCUCCAAUUUUUGUGCUCUCUCUUGGAAUUCCAUCAACUUUGACAAUUCCAUUUCUGCCCUCUCCCUCCGACCCUUUUCUUCCAAUAAUUUUUCCUUCAGUAACUCAUUGUUGACAUGAGAAGAUCUCAAUCUUCUGGCUUCUCGUACUUCAGAUUCCUAAAAGCAAGUAAUCAACGCAAUGAGCAUUUCAUUAACUAAAUAAACCUGGAUGAUGGAUCAUGAUAAAAUUGGGAAGAGAGAGAAAGAAAGAGAGAGAGAGAGAGGUCAUUGCUAACCCUUAUUUAUUUUAUAUAAAAAAGUUCUACAGGAUUCAAACCAUUAUUAAAUAUCCACUAAGAGAAAAGAUGGCUGAGAAGAAAAUAGAUUCUCAAAUAAAAUAAAUAACUCACAUAGUUUCGAAUCUCCUCUUGCAAAAGUUUCACCAAUUUCUGAUCCUCCGUAGGAGUAUUUUGAUUAGAUGAAGCAGAAAAUCUUGAUAGCUUAUGCUCUACCUCACUCUUCUGGUGGAGACACUGAUUAAGAGAAUAAACAUAUUACAGUCCUGUUAGUUUCUUUUCAAAUCCCAGUAGAAAUACAAACAGAACAUGUUGCCAAUGCAAGUCAAUUCCUUAGUGAUAAGCAGAGAUGGCCAAAAGACAUUUUCUACGAUACUUGCUUUGACAACUGUCCAAUAAAUGAACAUUUUUACAUUCCAUUCACACCUACGCGCUGAAGAACUUGAAAGAAUUGGAAGACAUGAUUAAAAUGACAGUACUUAUCGGCUAUACAACACAAGUACGCAGAGAUAACUAAAAAAAAAAGAAAAGUUGCUAGAUACCUCAUUCAACUGCUCUCUCAAGCCCUUCAGCUCUUGUUUCAGUAACUCCGCCUCUUUCUCCGAGUUUUCUGCUCUGAGUCUCAUUCUUUCGAGCUUGUACAAAAUUCAUACAGCAAAAGGGUCAAUAGGUCUCUCAAUAUUCUAAAUACAAGAAGCAUUUUCCCUUACUUACAUUAGCAGCCAGCUUAGAGGCAGAGAGAUUUAAACUGUCUUGUGAAAAUGAGAGUUCCUUCUUUAGCAUAUUUUUCUCCCUCUCUGAACUUUCAGUUAGCCGCUGAAGUUUCCCUUCAAGAUCUUUAAUCGUCUCCUUCGCUGAUGCUGCUGACAAUUCAGCAGUCUUACGAGAAUCACUUUCUCUAUUGAGUUCAACCUGCAGGGUAUGGUUUAAAAAAGAAAGUUGAGUUUGCAAGAUAACCGAAUUCGGAGACCCAGAAAAAAUUGUUGGCUUGAUUAUAAAAAAGAGGGAAAAAAGAAGCGCUUAAGGCUAUCCUAUUAAAUCAAGCAUCUAAAGCUCAUUUGCAUACUAGAACCCACAUAUCCUAAUAUCACAGGUGAAAAAAAGCCCAAUUCAAAAGUAAUAGUUACAUCUCAGUGAGCAUUUUUUAUUGGUAAAAAAGCAAAUAAAUGGUAUGAUCUUUAAAUCCACCAGGAAUGAAGUAAUAAAAGCAUAUCUCAGCUCCCUAAUAUGCAUCAUAUUGAUGCAUGAUAAUGCAGCACUUCAGAAUACAUACAUUACAUUACCAAAAAGCAAAAUGGAAGAUAAAAUCAACACAGGAUCACAAAGUGCUGAAGGGUGGUCCAAUAAUCAAAGAAAAAAAACAAAAGGUGGCAUAUAUGAUGUUGUUUAGUCGCAACAAUGGAAACACGCCAAAAGGCAAAACCACUGCUAGUCAGUAGGUUCCCAUAUGACCUGUUCAGGAUGUCUAAAUGUCCAAUUAAUCAUAUGUAAUGGCAUAUAGCUCCAAAUCGUUGAACAUUUUAAGCUUCCAGGCACAGCACUGACUACCUAAGCAACAUUUAGGCAAUUGCAUUGACAUACUUAUGAAAUUUCACAUGGAAAAAAGAAGAUUCACAUUAUGGAAUUAAGAAAAGGAGGUAUGGCCCAUUUAACAAACAGAUUUCAAAAAUUAAAGGUAUAAUCAUACCUCAAGUUCACUGAUACGUUUCAAUUGUGCUCGAUGCCGCUCAUGGGAAUCAGUGACCUCUUUUAGUAGCCGUUCUUGCAAUGCGUGCUCACGCCCUUUUGUUGCAGCAAGCUCUUGCUCUAAAAAGGUGAGGUGAUCUUGACACUUCUUUCUUUCAUCGUCUGUGGCGGCAAAUAUAACUUUGCAGUUAUUUACAUUCAGCUUUGCAAAUCAGAUGGAAUAAAAAGAAAAGAACACCAGUUCAGCACCAAAUGAUAGUAGGUUUAAAGACUAAUUUUCAAUAGUGCCAAAUAGACUGAAGUCUACAACAAUCGUUAACAAAUAAUCAACUUUAAACAAUGACAAUAAUCUGAUUAUCAAAAGUCAGAAAACUCAAGCACAUGAACCACUCAAAAGCAAACCAAAGAGCACCAUACCACUCCUGCAUAGUUGUUCGUGCAGUGUCUCCAGUCUAGCUUGAUAGUCACCGACUUGCCUCUCUAAAGUGUUGAAAGCUACCAUGAACUCCGAUUUAACCUAUUAAUUGCAAGCAUACUCACUUAUCAAUCAAUUUUUACAUCUAGAAAGUAAAUCAGGUGAACAAUACUUAAUCUAGCCAAAGUUAGUUUCUAUAACUCAAGAGGAAGAGGCUUAAAGGAAAAGAGAGAAAUAAGCAAAUUGGAGAUGCAAAACAAGCAACUGAAGGAAGGAGAAAAAUGGGGAGGGGGGGGGGGGGCCUUAGAGGACAAGUAUAGUGAUACCGAGUAAGUACUUUUGGCUGUAAAAGUACACGUGUGCAACUUAGGGUAAUUGCACCAGUAGCUCCUACAUUUUGAGCCAGGUUUUACGUUGGCCCCCAAACUUUUAAGUUGGAUGUUCAGCAACCUAAACAUUUGCAUCUAUACAUCCAUGUAACCACCCAUCUUUCCGCCCUCAAUCCCAUCUCAUAUCUCAAUCUAUAGCACUCACUUAGUUUCAGCCUUUUCCCUACUAAGAAAUUGGACAAUUCAAUUGAAAAUGUGAGACGGAUGGAGGGAUGAUGGAUUUAUGGUGCAUGGAUGUAUGGAUGAACCAAUUCAGCCAACAUAUUUUUCCUCUAAGGCACCAGCCUGGAAACUUGACUAAAAGUUCUGGGAGGAGUAGUGCAACUUAGCUGUGCAACUUAUAGAGCAAUAUAGAGGUCUAAAUUGAUGCGCCAUGUUAAUAAAGAAAGUGAACUUAAAUCAAGUUAAGUGACACAAAAUGAACAGAAUAUCAUGCAGAAGCCAGAACUACUGCCAAGAUGUAUUCGAUGAAGAUGUUAAAACAAAGUUAUAGGAAGAAUACCAAAUAGAUAAGACAAUAUAACUACAAAAGAAGAAAAAACUUCUUUCUUAUUCUAACUAACAAAAUUCAAGCUUUCAAGUAACUAAUAUCUUGUCUUUCAAAACCUGCAUAUCUUUCAUUUCCAUGCAAUCUAAAUGCCACAAAUUAUCGUGUGAUACCAUUACACUAUCGUCCAUACUACUUAGUAAACUCAACCUCUUGACCAUUUCAUAUUUUUCCUGUUAUCUUCCAUAGAUGCAGCAGAGAUACAGCAAGAUAGUAACUACAAUCACACUUCUUGGCUUAUUUGAUAAAGCUAAACACAUGAAUUACCGCUCCCUAAGUAUUUCUCAUAAAUUUAACGUUUUGACUUCUGCUAACUACUAAUUGGAAUGCAAGAAACUCAAAAAUCCAUGAAUACUCAUUCUUAAUUCUGCUACUACCCUAAAGAGAAAAUAUACAUUACUCAUUCAAGAAUUAUGAAUCAAACAUUCACUGUUCAGGAUAUUAAUUUUCCAAAAUCCAAACAGAUAAAAUUGCCGCAAGGAAUUAGUAACCACACCAGCACUUCAAUACAAGCAACUCGAGAAUUUACCAUUAAUCUCACAGUCAUGCCAAGAAAUUAAACAUUAACACGAUAAAGCAACCACAAAAAGAAGCUAAAUAUGGCAAUAUCUCAUCGUAUCACUUCAAAUUUUGAAUCGAAAGCAAAUCACGUCGAAUCAACUAGGGUUGCUAUUACGACGGAGGGAGCGGGGGAUCACCAUCUGACGGCAAUGGUAGGUGCAGACCAUCGGAUCGGACGGCUCGGCGGAGGCGAUGGGGACGGCGGCGGCGCCGCCGCCGUAGGGCACGAGGCGGCGGUCGGAGACGGGGCUCUCGUCGCCAGCGACGGACUCGGCCCUACGCUUCCUCUGAGGCGGGGUUCGGAGCAUCAUCUUCUCGAGAUGGAGCGUGUAGGGUUAGGGUUUUAUCGAGCGAGAGAGAGAGGGAGGGGGGAGUUUCGUUCGAAGGAGAGCGUAGGGCGCGACGAGAGCUCUCUUAUUCUUUUGUUUCUCUGUUGGGGGAAGGAGCGGGGGAGGCCAAAAUCCUGUGUGUGAAUGAAUUUGGUUUGGUAUGGGAAAAUUGUAUAUAUACCCCUUAAAUGUUAUCUUCUUUGUUUUAACACACACCUGAACUUUUAAUUAUCAACUUUAAACUUUAUCUAAUAGUUUAAUAGGCAUAUCGCUCCAUCCUUUAAUUACGUAGUUAAUUUAAAUCCUUUAAACUUGGCAUAUUUGCCAAAAAAAAAAAUUAAAAUUACUAGUUUUGUGUUUUUACAAAAGUGAAUCACUUUUUUAUUAUUACAAAUUCGGUUCAAUUUUUUUAAAACUUGAUUAAAAUAUUCAUGGACCUUAAAUACCUUUAUUUUUUCUUACUCCACCCUUUCUUAUGGAUUGUCUUCGCCGCCACGGGCGGUCGCCUCUACACUAACUUUUCUAUCAUAUUCGCAUUGUGGUGUUCCUCGUGAGCUAGAGGAAGACGAUGGAUUUGACCUACUUGUUGUCGCGGCCGCUCAGAGCUUCGUUGAAGAUGGAGACAAAGGUGGCGGAGGAGGGUGAUGAUCAUUGACCGAGAAUACUUCUGAAUCAUGUUCACGACGUGAGCGUACGUGACUGGCGGCAGCGAAGUGGUGGUGAUAAUGAGAACGUUGCGAUAUUGUGCUAUUUUUUAAAAAAUACACCAUUUGAAUAUAUACGUCUUUAGUAAAAAAAUUGCAUUAUUUAUAACUUAUCAUAUAUAUAUAUAUAUAUAUAUAUAUCAAAUAGUUCAAUAUCACGUCAUUCAUCAAAAUUUUCUCUCUCGCUACUACAACCACCUCGUAGCCAUUGCUUACGUUUGCAAACUCGUUCGUAAAUUUACUUCAGGAGUAUUCUCGACCAGCGAUCAUCGCCCUCUUUCUCCGCCAACUUCAUCUUCAUCUUCGGCGUUAUAUACUCCGAGCGGUAUCAUUCUCGUCUCUACCACAGCGACCUUGCCAAAAAAUUUAUGAAAACGGCCAUGGCUACGAGAGAGUCAUGCUUCGUCGUAGUCCUCUUACUUAUGGGCGAGAUAGGGAAGGAGCACAGUAGGGAUGUGAAAAGCGGUGGAGGGGAGUAAGAAGCGAGAGGGAAAAAUGAAAGAAGAGAGAGAAUAUAAAUAUUUUGAUUAUUUGAAAAAUAGAUCAAAUUCUGUAAAAAUAAAAAAAUAGUCUACUUUUGAAAAAUCACAAAAUUAGUUUCAAACUUUUCAAAAUUUUAAAAUUCACGUUGAUUUUAAAAAACUUCUGCAAAAUAUAAUUUCAAACCACAUUCCGAGGUCCCUUUUCGCGUGGAGAGCAUCGUUACCUCCUAAUCUCACGCUCCCUGUCCUAAAACCCCCCACCAAAACCCCAGCGUUUUCCGAAACUCGACGCUUAAUUACUUUACUUUUUCUUCGUCUCUCCCAACCAAAAAAACCACAGAUCCACCCCUUCCGACACCUCGCGAGCUUCGUCGACCAUGGCGAGCGCUCUACGCCUCCUCCUCCUCCGCUCUCCUCAUCCUCCGCCGCAGCGGCGCUUUUCAUUCCCCUCCCUCUCCCUCGCCUCGCGCUCCUACGCCGCCGCGGCGAAACCCUACCCCUCGCCCUCGAAGCCGAGGGAGAAGGAGAGCCCCGGCGCCGAACCAGAGCCGUCCGAUGAUGACGCGGAGAGCGCACCGACGGAGGGGAUCAGCAGGCCCCUCUCGGAGAUCCUCAAGGAGCUGGGGAAGAAGGUCCCCGACUCCCUCGUCAAAACCCGCGUCGAAGAUGGUUUCCCCAUCAGAUACAUCCCCUGGUUCGAUUUUUUCUUUUUUUAAUCACAAAACCCCUUCAAAUUCUCCCUGAUUCCACUUUGAUCCACUAACCCUUUUUGUGUUCCAUUGCAUUUUGGACCGUUAAAGUUGAUAAGCUAACUGUUCAUUUGUUAUUAAGCUUCCCCUGUUGCAAAAGUUUAAAUUUUGGUCACAAAUUACCAAAAAAAUAAAGCAAGUUAGUGAGUUUUUGUGUGUGUGUGUGUGUGUGUGUAAAUGAAGGUACAAUUAGGAGAAUGUUAGUGGAUUCUAUGAUUUAAAACCUGUUCUGUUCCCUGUUGUUUGUGUUUGAAUAAGGGAAUUAAGAAUUUAUUAAGCAGAGCAGAGAUCCAAGAUAGAGUUUUAUCGUAGUAAUAAUAUUUGGUUAGGAUAGUAAAUGAUGUGAUAUAUCAAUUAGGGGGUGGUGGUAAUAGUUCCUCACAGCGGUGUUCUUAAUGAGCUUGAUUGAUUCAAUUAGGUGAGGUUUAUUUAAUUAUGUUUCUUAAUAGCUAGGGGGGCAGAACUACGAUUCUAGAUAGUAGUUCCGUGAGUGCCUGCGACUUACUCAUUUCGAUGUUCCAUAGAUCGAGAAUUAAGUUAAUCUUAAGCAUUGCAAGGGACGCGAAGCAUGAUUUUGGAGGAAUGCUUACGCAUUCAUACCCGCGUUCGCUUCCUCCGUCCCCUACUAUUUCAUUUGUCAUCUUUGUAAGUGUUUAUUCUCGCACAUUCAUCAAUAGAUUUGCUGAGUUUUUGGUGACAGAGCAUAUUUUAUUUGUGCAUAAAAAAGGUCAUGAAGUUUAACUCUUUGUAUGUUUGUGCUAAAAGAAUAUAUAAUAAAAUGGUUGAAGUUUUAAUCCUGUGUAGUAAUUUUUAGCACUUGCAAUCAAAGUAUUUGUGCUGUGAAUUCGAUUUUCUUCAGGUUUUACGGCGAAGUCUAUAUUCAUUUUACAAUGCUAUAUCCGUAUUAAGUUGUUUCUUACAUACUUUUUUCUUGUAUUCUUCUUGCAGGCAUAUUGUCAAUAGAAUCUUAAAUCUGCAUGCUCCUGGUAUGUAACAGUUAAUAUAUAAUGAAAAAGGGCUACUACUUACUACUUGGACCAAAUUAAAAUGUGUUCGAAAUUUGAAUCAUGUCCAAAUCAUCUCUCAGUCCUUGUCGUUUCACAUUUUCUGCAGAAUGGUCUGGUGAGGUACGCAACAUUGUUUAUUCAUCUGAUGGGAAGUCCGUAUCAGUUGUUUAUCGCGUGACUCUUUAUGGGACUGAUGCUGAGGUACCAUUUUGUCAAAAUCUUUUCUUAUUUUUGAUUCCUACAUGAGUAUAUCAAUGUUGUUGGGGCAUUUUAUUUCUCGCAAAAUCCCUGCUUUAGAAUUUCGCGUGUUUUCUAUCUUGAUAGGCUCUUAGGUGCAUUUUAGAUUUUAUCUUGUAGCUUGGUUCUCACUGUGGAGCUCAAUGAACUUUUAUCACCAGAAUAUAAGUUGUCCCUUGGCAUUGAUGCACACUUAGAAAGUUUUGUGUUGCUUUUUGUACAUGCAGAUCUACAGAGAAGCAAGUGGAACAGCAUCUGUUGAUGAUACGGGUUACGGAGACCCUGUGCAGAAGGCAGAGGCAAUGGCCUUCCGCAGAGCUUGUGCACGUCUCGGUCUCGGGCUUCACCUUUAUCACGAAGACAUGUCAUAGAAUGCGCCAUUAUCUCGGUAUGCAAUUUUGAAAGUUUACAUGACUCAGACAUGCAUAUAUAUACUUAUUAGCGCAUACCAUUUUGCAAUGGACUGUUUAUUGUCUGAAUGUAAGAAUUGGCUGUGUUUAACUCUGUAAAACUUAUUAUUGUAAAAUGGAUCAAAGGAUUUAUCAAUGUAAGCUUAUUGAUGCAAGUACAGUUUUCUUAGACUAUUGGAGGAUAUUUGCUUGUGUGGUAGCAAAACUUAUCCUUUUUCUUUAACGAAAAUUUAUAAUUCCAAAUUAGGUAAAGCCCUUAGGGAUGCAAAUGCCUGUUUGCUUCAGCCGUGAUAAAACAGUAGGGGUGCUACUCAGUUGGGUUACUUUGGGUUAAAGGGUGUAACUAAGAUCGACCAUUCUUGGGAUUGCGCUUUUGGGCUAAAAUCAUGUUGGGUUGGGUUGAGACUGAGUUAGGAUGGGUUGGGUCGGUUAGGUCGAAUUACUCAGAAUCUGUAUUAAGUGUUAGUAUGGAAAUGAUUAGUAUUUUAUCCUUUUAUGGUUUUCAUCCAAUCUAAAAGGAGAAAAAAUAUCCAACACAUAUGAUUGUAUUUAGUUAUAAUGUAUUUGUUAGUUUGUAUGAUAUAGUUUAAAUCAGGUAGGGUAAGUUGUGUUAGGUUGGGUUGGGUCCAGGUUAGGCACUGGUUGACUUUGAUAUCAUACCUAAUCUUAGCUCAAUAUAAAUUCUAGACUGGAUAAUGUGACCUUACACAUUUAUUGCAUUGAGUGGUGGUUUUGGUUGAACCCAACCCAAGAUGCAGCCAUGUAAAACAGCUUCAGUAAUCCUUCAUCAAAUGGAUGCAAGGUUAAGAUCCUCUGAACCUUUCCAUAUUCCCAAACAAAAUGACCUUGAUUAACAGACAUGUUCUGAUUAUCAUUUUUCAGCAUCAAAGGAUGAUAGUUUAAAUACAGUUUUGAAUUUUUGACUAACCAACUACUCUAGGUAUUAGUUGUUCUUGAUUUAUUCCUCCUUUCACUAGUUAUUCAUCAAAGCCAGACAAGUAAAGUGACCAUCCUCAAGUGAAUCCUAGCAUUGAUAAGGGUUCUAAAGCAAGUUUUCAACACAUUACAAUAUUUGAUCAAUUGCUAUUGCUGUUGCCAAAAGGAAGUAAAAUAAUAACAAUAAGAACAUAGGAGCAGGAGACAAACAUGAUUGCAGAAAUAUGCAGUUCUAAUACAGGCACAGCAAAAAGAUUAAUAUCAUAGUACAGCAAAUAUUAACUUAGUGAUUCGACAUGGUACAUAUCAUAAUAUCAGCUUGUCCUAAAGUGGCAUGCACACUUAUUACAACCCAUGUCACUAACAGUACAUUAAUAGUACCUUUAAAAAGCAUCAAUGUCUGAGAGAGAGAGAGAGAGAGAGAGAGAGAGAGAGAGAGAGAGAGGGAGAGGGGGAGAGAGAGACUCUUGGACCUAACCAUGGCACUUUUUUUUUUUUUCAUUUUUUAAAGGUGGGUAGUGGGAUGUUAGAGGAGUUGGGACCCAAAAGAACAAAAAUAUCAACUUGGGUCCAUUUUUGGUGGUUGGAACUCCAAAAGCCAUUUUUGGGGUCCAUGUGAGAAUAAAGGACAUGAGGUAGAGCUGAAUGCAUAAAACAAACAUCAGCACUCCCUUUAACUCUUGUGUUAGAUGGGCUAAACUCUCCUCAGAGCUUAACCACAAAAAUGUACACAAAAAACUAGCAACAAAGAUGGUUAGUGAUUCAUCUUACCUUGGAUUAGGUAAGGUGAGUGGCUAGUUACACUAAAUUAAUAUAUCUAAAUGAUGGUUAGGUAAUAUUGGUGGGUGGAAUAGGUCAAGGGGUUUUGUAGGGGACAAGCUUAAGAAGUUCUUAAGCUCAUCAAGGGCUAGGGUUUAAACAUUGACUAGGGUUUGUGAGACUUGUCCAAUAAGUUGUUGGGUCACAUUUUCUUAAUCCUUGUUAACUUGGUAUUAGCUCAAGCCCUAAUUAGAAAUAUGCUUGAAGCUCAGUUAGGGUUUCUUUUGCCAUAGCCCUCUUGGGCUUAGGGUUUCUCAAGUCCCAAGCUAGGUAGCUUUUUUGCUUUACCAUAAAGUCCUUCUUGGACUAGGGUUAAUUAGAAUGCUUCUACUUUUAUAUCAUGGGAACACCAAAAGUUGGUGCAUGAUGAGGGUUAGAAAUAUAGAAGGGUUUCUGUUAGUAAAAAGCCCCAACCUUGGGGCAAGGUGCUUUGAGCCCAUCCUUAGGGCAAAAGCACUUUCCCAAACACCCACAAAUAACAAGUGGUGGCUUGGAGAAAAGGCACUUCUCCACAUUCUCAGGUUUUUGUCCUUCCCACAGCCCCUGUGGGACUAAACCUGGAAUCAUGAUGACCAUGUGGUGUACACUAAUACAUGCAUGGACUCACACUGAGGGGAAAAGGAAAGAAACAAUUGGAAGUAACCAUGGUUAAACCAAGGGUUGCUCCGGCGCCGCGGCCGCCGCCGCAGAGACGGUGAAGGGAGAAGGGAUAAGCCUGUAGGGAUGGGCAUGAGCUUGAGGUGGAGUAGUGGGAAGAGUUGGAGCUGUGAGACCCAUAGUCAUGCCUGUUUUAUGGGGAAACACACUGUUAAGAUAUUAGUGUAUGUAGCUAGUGAAUUAGACAUGGUAGCAACACAUGCUAAUACAAUUGUUUCAGAAGUUAAUGUAGAACCAUUUAACAUGUUAUAUGUCUUGGUAACAUUGAAAUUGAGAAUUACAUUUUAUUCCAUAGAUUUAAGAUAUCUAUUGAUGCAAUACCAGACCAAGGUAAAUGAAUGGGUGAUCCUCGUACUUUUCCGAUUUUGGUACUUGGUUCCUAUACUUCUCACUCGUAGUCCUCAAAACUUUCACAUUUAUUGCACUUCAGCUGCUAAUUCUUAGAAAAAAAAUCUUGCUUUUUUCACAAACCAACCUUGCAUGUAGCUCUAUUUGAAAUCAAGUGAAAUUAUUGUUUUAUAUAUUUUGAUAGUCAGGGACUGAAGCGCAUAUAUGCGAAAGUCGAGAAACAAAAAGAUUCAAAUGGAAAACAGAAGAACCAAGUCGCGAUAUCAGGAUAGUACAGGGACAAUCCAUGCAUUUUACCCUAUACCAAAACGAAUUGCCUUUUUAACAAAUUUUCAGCCAUAUAUAACCUACUUCAUGACAUGCAAAACAUGCUGACACAAUGAAAAAAAAAACUCUGAACUAAGCUGUGAAGUAGUACCUGCUUGUGCUGGUGGGCUAGGUGCAAGGGACAAUGGACCUCCAUAGUGUUGGGCAAAGCCGGUCAAUCCGGCCGUCGAAGUCGCCACCGCGGAGUAGUGGAACAUCUGGGGGUAGUGCAAGCCGUAGCCUUGCGUUCCGGUGGCGAAUGAAGCUGCUCCACCGACGCCGCCGCCGCCGCCGCCCUGGCCGAAUUGGAAGUAUGGGUAGUAGGGAGUUGUUCCAGUUACCAUCCCAGUUGCCCCUCCAUAUACUGGGUAUUGUGUUGUGGCUCCUCCAUACAUGUUGUAGUAGUUCUAUAUGUAUCAGUAAAAAGCAAUUUUUAUUUUUAGAAACAAAACUUAAAAAGGAGAUUGUUUGAUGACUAAAGCAUUGUAUAAUUUGCUUCUUCUAUGAUUUGCAAAACAAUAGAGAAAAAACCAACCAUUGGAACUAUAGUGAAAUUAAUAAGCUUAUUGCUUAUUUGCGUAAGUAGCUAGGUUAUGUUAUUCGUUCAUUAUUUUUGAUUGGUAAUGGAGUUAAUUAUGUUGGAAUAAAUGUAGAAUUAUUUGACUGCGUAAGGCCUUAAUUGAAUGAUUCUAAAUCUGUAUUUAUUGAUAGAAUAAUUGACUAUUUUGGAAACAGUUUCUGGUAUUACUACUAUUAUUGUUAUUAUUUGCAUGUGUGUGCGUGUGAAGCUCCAACUCUUUUAGGCCACAAAAUUAUAUUUUGUUCGCUAUAAUAGAAGCUUCAAAUUCUUUUUAUUUUGUUACAAAAAUUAGCGCAUGAAAGUAGAAACAGAAGCAGAGCCAAACAUGCUUUAGAGUUAAUUACAUAAUAACAAUAAUAAUACCAUAAAGUUUAUGUCAUGUUGGAAAUGGUAGAAUAUGAUUCACAGCUUUAUCAAAAAGAGGAAGUGUCUGCAUCUAACAGUCCCUUAGUGGAUCAAAAAACCGAAAUGUAGGUUGGAUUAUUGGAUGAGGAGGGCCCAACCCAUGUGCAUUCUAUCUUAAUGGGUAAAGUAAUUAAGGGUACCAACCCGUUAAGCGCUAUCGGGUCGGGUUCGGACAUGCCCGGGCCUAGCCCAUGUGCACCAGUACAAGGCAAGUUACUAAUAGGGCACCAACUUUUGGAUAGGUGGUAGGCAUAAGCUUUUGGAUAAGACUAUUGUAACACUAGUGUAGGAAACUGCGCGAUGCGGCGGAAAAAAAUUUUUAGUAAAAAUUUAGUAAAAAUUUAUAAAAUAAAUAAACAAAUAUGAAACAUAAAAAAGAAAAAGAAAAAUAUAAGUAUAUUUGAUUGAAAAUAUUACAUAUUUUCUCAUAAAUGGUAGAUCAAGAGCCACUAAAAACAGAAAGUAAAUGUGAGUAAAUGAAACAAAAAAUAAAGAGUCAUUUGAAAAAAUAAAAUAAAUAUAAUUUUUUAGAGAAGAGAAAAAAUGACUUAGGGCCCACACCUCCCUCGAAUUAAGUAGAUACAUCCACAUAGGAUUUAGGCAUGAGAAUUCAUGUAUAAGUAUAGAUAUAGAUAUUUUCAAAAUGCUGCUCUUUUGGGGUAUUGAUGUAUUAAUAUAUGCAUGAUACAGAGGUUUUUAAUUGAUUUAUACACACAGUCAAAGAGUGCCGCGUGUAUUUGCUAAUACAUCAACAACAUAUAAGGAUAAUAGUUUGGAAUGUUUUAGAUCCUCACGAAAGUUUAUCUUUUUGCUGUUGAUGUGUCGGCAAAUUCAUAUUACGCCUUGCACAGUGUGUGUGUAAACUAAUCAAAAUUUCUACAUCAGCAUUCUUGGGGACCCAAGUUAACAUGGACCCCUGUAAAUGGAAUUAUAAAAUGCAUGGUUGAGAAUUAAGUAUAGGAGCCCAUACUUGUAUUCGUCCAUAGGAAACCUCAUCAAAUUUCUAAAAUUGGAAAAUUUAUACAUAGUUGUUAUUUUAGAUAAUACACAUAUAUGUUAUAGAAUAGGUUAGUGUUUGAUGUACUAGAGUGGUACUAAAUUUUAACUUAUUGCGCUGAGUAACUGAAGAGUGAUAUCAAGAGAAUUAAACCACAAAAUAUAUCGAAAAUAUAUAGCAAUGCGGUUGUGCGCAUGCAUGUGAUUAUAAAUUUACGUAGCCAUGUAUGUAUGUACGUACGUACACUUACAAGUGCUUCAUUUUUCAUUCUUAAAUUGUUGCAUGCAUUUUCAAAGUUAACUAAAAAGAAAUUAAUUUGUCUCAGAUUAUUUUCAUGUAAUGAUUAAUUGUAAUAACAUAAAAGCAAAUUAAAGAGGGGGACAAGGAAACAAACCGUGGGGUAGCUGUAGUCCGCAGAAUACGGAGAAUACCUGCAAAUUGUUUGAUUUAAAAAAAAGAAAAGAAAAAGUGUUACAUUGUGAGAAGCUUUUUCCAGGUCAUUGCAACUUUAUCAUGUGUGUGCAUAUGGAUAUAUGCGCAUUAAUGCAUCGUAUGUAGAUUGAGAGAGAUGCUAAAUAAUACAAAACAAUCCUCGAGAUCUGAAAAAAAAAAUAUUAUUUUCUAAAAAACUACUCUAUUAUAUAGAGAACGGUGCUUUGAGAAGCUUUUCCAGGUCAUUGUAACUUUAUCAUCAUAUAGGUGCGCAAGGAUGCAUGCAUGAAUGCAUAGUGUUUGUAAAGAAAAAGAUGUUAAGUUACGUGAAACAAUCAUUCAGGUUAUGAGUCUAAAUAAACUAAUAUUAUGUUAAAUGAUAUAAAAUACUAAAUCGAUAAAAAAAUAUUUUUAAAUUUUUAUAUUUAAAGAGAGAGAGAGAGAGAGAGUGCGCUUGUGCAUGUGCAGUAGGGUAUGAUGACUACAAAUGAGCGCAUGCUUAGCAACUUUAUGAACACCUGUGCGUGAGAGAGAGAGAGAGAGAGAGAGAGAGAAAGAAAGAGAGAGAACAAUUAACCAGAGAGAGAGAGAGAGAGAGAGAGAGAGAGAAAGAGAGAGAACAAUUAACCACACUAGUACCAUGAUCAUGUGCCAUGGUACAAUGCACGUGCAAGGCAUGUGAUCAUGAGCCUUACAUCUUACUUCUAAUUAGUAAUCUAAUUAAUAAUUAGAUACUGCAUUGAUCUUCGUGAACAAAAAGGAAAACCAAAAAAAGAUUUAAAAAAAAAAAAAAGAAAAAGGGGAAAAAAAGCAUACCCAUAGACGUUAUAUGGGAUCCCUUGUUGGAUGGCAUAAUGAGGGAAGGUGGAGGGAGAAGGAAAAGCUGUGGCCACCCCACCAUGAAGGCCUGUGUGGAAGGACUUCAUCAUCCUAAAGCUUCUAUUUCCCCCUGCAGUAGUAAUUUAUAUAUAUUAAUAUUCAUAUAUACCAUAUACUGUCGAAUAUAAAUAUUAAAAAUACCGUAACGUAUAUAUGUUAGAAGCAUUAGUUGUUCUUCUGAUAACUAAAACUUUUAGAAAAAAAAAAAUAGUUGUUUUAUAGAAUUUAACAACUAUACAUUAAUAUAUUAAACCAUCAUGGCUUUGAAGCUAUGUAUGUAUAUUUAAUUGCACUUAACAAAAAGUUUCAGCUCUUAAAUUAAUAUAAGCACAUUAAUGAUGAAGGAGAGAGCACACAGGAAUAUUAAUACAAAGGUUAGAAAAACAAAUAAAUGUGAAUAAAUGCAUACAACUAAUUAGUGUUUCCUAUCUCAAUUAAUCUGAGUACUACUAAUAAUUAAUAACAUUGUUCUUUUUUCCUCAGCAAUAUAUUAUAAUUAAUCAUGGAGAUCCUUUUGAGGAAACUUUUCAUACACUAUAAUAAGAGCCUGCAAACUUAUUCUUAGGUUUUAUCCACAAGCAUGCUUCAGAGCCUUUUUCUGAACAAGGAGAAAAGAUAAAAUAACCAUUAACACAAUUGUAGUCAAUAUGUAAGUGUUUGUAUUAGCAUCACAUGCAUGCUUUAGUGUUUAAGACAAAAGAUAUUGGCUCAAGUACUAAAGAUGAAGCAAAGGAUGUAUGUCUACAUGUGUUAAUAACUAAGUUACAUUUUGUAAAUGGCAUUAUCUUAGAUGGUCUAUGAAAAUCCCAAUUUAGGACCAUGAUCAUGGCAGUAUAAUUAAUUAGAUGGAAUAAAACUAGAUAUAAGUAAAGUGGUUAGUAAACAAAAUGAAUACUUAAUAUGUAACACAUGAGAUUAAUUAAUUAUAGCAAUGUCUCACCAUGUUGAGGAGUUGUAGGCCUAGAUCUCUGAACUCCUAAGGAAGCAAGAUUGCAAUUAGCUCUCCUCCCAUCUAUCACCGGCGCCGGAUCGACGCAAGCCCUCAUCGCAGCCUCGGGCUCUCGAAAUGUCACCUAAAAAUUCAAACAAAGCAAAAAAAUUACAAAUGUUACAAGCAUUAAUUAAGCUAUCAACUUAAUUUGCAAGCAAUUUGAGAAAGAACAACAAAAUGAAGAUCAUAGAUAGAUGAAAGCUAAUUAGCCAUAAAAUCAGAAUAUUCUUGUUCCAAUAUAGUUAACAAUUCACCACAAGAUCAUCUUACUACUAUAUACAGAUAUAUGUAUAUUCACUGUUCUCUUUGAUUAAUAUGUAAACCAUGAAGACCAAUUAGAUACAAAAAAGGAUCACAAUCUAAAACGAACAAGGAAAUAUGCAUGAUCAACAUAGUUAACUUAACAAAGGUGUACUAAAAAGUUAAACAAACAAACAAAUAUAUAUAUAUAUAUAUAUAUAUAUAUAUAUAUAUAUAUAUAGGAAAGAAAAAGGAAAAAGAUCUAUCACAAGGGAAAGUAAGUAAUUGGAGAACUCACAAAUCCAUAGCCCUUGGAUCUGCCAGUGUUCUUAUCAGUGAUCACCACAGCCUCCAAGAUCUCCCCAAACUGCUCAAAAUAUCUCCUCAUGGUGUCCUUCUGAGUCUCCCAAGCAAGCCCACCAACAAACACUUUGGUGUAAGUGGUGUCUCCAAAUUGCCCUCCUCCUCCUCCUCCUCCUCCUCCUCCUCCCAUGUUGUUGUUGCUAUUAUUAUUAUUAUUAUUUGGUGGACUCAUAUAUGUAUGUAUCUAUAUGAUCUCCUCACCCUCUCCCACCACAACAACACCAACAACAACAACAACAACAACAACAAAGAGAGAAAAAAGAAAAAGAAAAGCACCUAGCAAGCUUGUUUCCUCACUCCUCUCCCCUCCUCCUCCUCCUCUCUCUCUCUCUCUUUCUCUCUUCUCUCCUAUAUAUCUUCUCUCUCUAGAGAAAACUACUCAAUAACCCUGCUAGAGAUUAAUGGAGAAAAGAGAGAAAGACCCACCAAGGGAUAGGAGUGGUCUCUCAAAGCUUAGGGAUUGAUGAUGAGAGAGAGAGAGAGAGAGAGAGAGAGAGAGAGAAAGAGAAAGAAGUGAUAAAGGUGAGGGGAAAAAGAAAGGGGAAGAGACCUUGGGGCACACCAGUAAUACAACAUUUAUAUAUAUUCUCACUCACUACUGGUUGUUAUUUUUAUUAUUUUUAUUAUUUUUAUUGUAGUUUAAUUAUUAUUAGGUAAAAUGUAAAGAGACCCAUAAGUAUAGACAAUUUUGUUCAAACUGCCCCAUCAACUUUAUAAUUUGUAAUUUUUCAUAUAAUCGAGUGAUUUUCGUCGGAUGGAUUAAAAGUUUUAUCAAAUUAUAUUUACACUAUCUUGAGCUAAUAAUUUUAUUUACUAGCUAGCAAAUAAAAUUGACAUAAUAAAUUAUAAAAAGAAGAAAAGGAAAAAGGCCAUGCAUGGAGCUAAAAAAACUUGAAAAAAAUAGAAAAUAGGGAGAUAUCAAUUGAAAAAAAUUGAGGGGGUCUCACAACAUUUUCACAAUAUAAUAUAAUAAUAUUACUCCCUUGCCACUGUGUGUUAUGUUAAUUAUUAUUGGUCAUCCUCAUUCGCUAGUCCAACAAAGCUCAUAAAAUAAUAUAAAGGGCACCACCCACCCUGUUACACAUAUACUGUAUUGAAUAAAGCGAAAUGACCAAUAUGCCCCGCGAAUUUCAUUAAUUUACAACAAUGCCAAGUACCUAACGUCACCCCGUCCUUUGUCUUGGAGUGGCAAAAACGGAACGGGAAAGAUCCUAACGGGAAUUGGGGAGCACAAAUUUAUAAUAAGUAGGAUGGUUUUGUUAUAUAUAUAUAUAUAUAUAUAUAUAUAAGUAUGCUAACUGUGCUAUUAAGAGACGACAGCACCGUCUUAGUGCUCCUAACUUGUUGUAACUACCCAUCAAGUUUGAUUGGGCACGUUAGAAGUUAUAGCACAAGGUGUGUGGCUCCUAAUAGCACAGUAAGCCGCUGCUAUACUAUUAUAAAUAUAUAUAAUAUAAUAUAUUAUAGGCUGGGCUACUAAACUGUUUUAUGAGUAUAGAAUCUUUUCUUAUAUCUCAUUAAUAUUGGUUUACACUCGAGUGUUUUUGUUAGGAUGAUGGUGUUUUCCCACUUACAGAAUGAUCAGUGUCUUUAGGGUUAUUUGGUAAAAUUGUAAUAAUAUAUAUAUAGGGUGAAAAUAAUCAAUGGAACAAAUCUUUAAGGGCCAAUUAUAAUAUAAAGUCAAUAUCUGCAUAAAAUAUAGUAGGGCCGAGACUCAUAUAUUAUUAUAUAUAUAUAUUAAUAUAUAUUAGAGAGAGAGAGAGAGAGAGAGAGAGAGAGAGAGAGAGAGAGAGAGGUGUUUUUAGUGUUUAUCCGAAUCUUUAUUGAAUAUAAACAAUGGUUAUUAGGGUUUAGGGUUAGGUUUUACUUUAGUUGGAAAGGUAUCUAGAAUUAAGCACACAUAGGGCCCACCCUUGGAGAAAUUGUUGUUUGGAUUGGAUGCACAAUGUUGGGGGUGGACCGCGCAUUGAAUCUGCUAUUUACAGGUAAAAAUAUUUAGAAAUUAUAUAUACUAUGGAUUAUUUUGAUUUGGCUAUUCAAUCUUUCAAAAUUUAGAUUUUAACUUUAAAAUUUGAAUGCAUCGUUUAUUUUUACAUUUUAGUUAGGAUACAUCACAAAAUUUUGACAACAAAAAUUUGUUAAAAUAAGUAAUUAAAUUUGAAGUUAAAGUAUUGUUGCUAACUCAAACUAAAUAUUGGAUAGUAAAAUAAAAAUUUCAAAAGAUUGGGUUACCAAUUCAAAAUAAAUCAUAGUUUAUAUAAGUUCUGUAUGUUUUGCCUUUUUUUUAUCAUAAUUUAUUUCAGCCCCAACCAUCUAAUGAGUUGCAGUGUAUUUGUGAUAUUUUAAUAUUAAUUUGUUAACAGUAAUGGUGGCUGAAAGUAAAGAUGGGAUUGAUGGGAUUUAGUCUGAUUUGUUUUAUUUUGACUAUUUUCGACUUGACUUGGUCAAAAAAAAUUGUAUGUACUUUAAGUUCAAAUCUAGUCCAUAAAUUUUGGUUUAGGCUAUAUCAGGUCAGAUUACGUAUUGAUAUCUUGUUAUGUUGGAUGAAAGUCAAAAAAUUUACGCCUAAUUCGUCCUUGACUUAUCAUGCUAAAUAUCGGGCCUCUCAAUUCUAAUUCGCUGAGUCAGGUUGAAUUGGACGCCCUAAGCUAAUCCUGUCAAAAUUUGGCCAGACUAACCUAAUUGGGAGAGUCAAACUUAUGACAUAUUUGGUUCAUAAUUGAACAAAAAUUAGAAGUAGAACUGGAUCGUAUUAAUUGGAAUAAAAAAUAGAAUGAUAAAUCAUCCAAAAUUAUUUGUUUAUCAUUGAAAUGAAAAUCAAAUGAACAUUUAGAAUAUUGAGAGAGUGUUUUGGUUAAAGAGAAAUUAAGGAGGUGAUGAAGGGAGAGGAGGAAAAAGUGUUUUUGAGAGAAAGUUUUGAGUGAUUUACUUUGUAACGAGCCAAUUCAGAAUUCAAAAUUAAAUUGAAAUAUAAAUAGAUUGAGUUAUUUUCAUUAUAAAAUACAAUCAAAAUUGAAAUUCGAUUUCUGUAAAACAAACAACCAUUAUUAGAAUCAAUAAAUUUCGUUCCGAUUUCAUAAUUGAAAACAGGUGAACCAAACAAGUCCUUAGUUUACACAGCUUUUUGAAUGACAGAUCAGUACUGGACAGUCCGCGGCUAAAAUGGUGGACCAAAUCCAAGCAACAAUUCCCCUCCCUCCUAAAGAUGAAAUGGUGGGCACAUGGUGAUGGACAUAGGGAGCAUAUAUAGGGUAUAAUGGCCUAUCAUGGGAAAGGUAGAGAGGGUUCACUGUUACCCAAUUGGGGGGGAGAGGCUCAAUAUAUACACAGCUGUUCCACCCAACUACAAGCAGUGGACAAGGACACUUGAGCUAUAAAUUCACCCACACCAACUCCCUCUCUCUCUCUCUCUCUCUCUCUCUCUCUCUCUCUCUCUCUCUAGAUCACUUGGCUAUUAAGCUAAAACUAAAUUUAUAUGGACAUGCAUUUGAUGGGAACAUUUUUGUCUUUUAUUCACAUAAUAGAUAACACUUGCUAACCACCUUUAUUGUUUUGAUUUGUCAUGUUCAUGGAACCCAAACUUAUAAGAGGAGAUUGUUAGGUCUUGGAUAAUUAGAGCUUAUCUUUUAAGCUAAUCUGCACGAAAAACACAUUUUAAUUUGAUAGUUUAUGCAUUUGUUUGAUUUGACUAUUUUGAUGUUUAUCCAAUAUAUAUAUAUAUAAUAAUUUAUUUUUUCAUUAAUACUCAACUUUCCGUGUUCUAAAUUAAUGACAUAAAUAUAUGAAAUUCGCACGUAUACUUUCUUUCUCCGCUUUAUAAGAAAAGAAGGGCAUAAGUUUCUAAUAAAAUUGUCCAAUAACAGUCUCAUAUUUUCUUCUUAAAGAAAAUUUUAUAUUUUCAUCACCAUAGUCACCAUAUAUUGUUUGCUUAAAUAUAAAUAUAUUGGGGAAAAUUUUAUGUAUAUUCCUGCAAAGUUUUGAAAAUACAUAUUCUAAUUAUCAGAUAUAUUUCUCUAAAGUUUCAAAAUACGAGAAUUUAUUUCUACCAGUUAACUAUCAUUAAUUUAUCGCUAUUUUUUUAUCGUUAGAACCAUUAUACCCCUGUAAAAAAAUAGUUUUUAAAAAAAGAAAGUGGAAUUUACCGUUCAUAUAGAAUGACAUGAGGUUAGAAUAAAAAUAUUAUGAACAAUAAAUGAUGCUAAAUAGAGUUAUUAAAAAGAUAUUGUUUUCAAGGAUUGAAUGAUGUAAUUGCAAAACUAUACAAUUUUGGAGGGAUAUAUUUAUUAUUAUUGACUAAAAUUUUGUAUGAAUAAAUACGUAAGUUUAUUACUUUUGUUUGAUUAUAUAUGCAAUUAACCCAAUGCAUCAAUUGUCUUUGAGAACACUUUACUAUUUAUUCACUACCUUGCUAUAUAUGUUAAUUAAUUCAUAAAGGGUAUCAUUAGGCAUACAAUUUCAAAGAACUUAGGCACCUUAAUUACUUAUUAAGCUCUCAAAUAUACAUACAUUUUUUUUAAAAAAAAAGGGCGGGAAAAUAUUCCCGCCAAAAUGGUGGAAAGAAACUUUUCAACUCCCCCCCUUUAAUUUCCUUUGUUUGUAUUAGCCCUAGUGGAUGAUGUAAUACUGUUUAAUGAAGAGCAAUAUAUUGUUUCCAAUUCUUUCUUUUUUUUCCUAAGAAAUUAGAAGUUUUUUACUGCACUAGAUGUUUCAGACUUUUCCCAUGUUCCAGUAUAUGUAAGUAAUUUUUUAGGUAAACUUUAAAUACCAUCUUGUAGUUUUGCUCUUUUUCAUUUUAAUGUUACGUGAUUUAAAGUGUAUCAAUUUAGUACUCUAUGAUUUUAUUUUUCUCUUUUCGUCAACCCUUCUAUUAAAUUUUCUUUAAACCAUAUAGAAAAAACUUUAGAUACCCAUCUAUAGUUUAUCGAAAAUUUAUUUUAGUACUCUUUAGUUUUAACUUUGCACUAAUUUAACAAAAAAAUUAGUGAAAAUGAAUAAUAAAAAGCGAAAAAUAAAAAAUAAUAAGGUACGAAAGUGAUACACUUUAAACCAUAUGGUACUAAAGUGAGAAAGUACGAAACUACAGAAGUGAUAUUUAAAGUUUUUUCUUCUUUUUUUAGUGAAAGCUAGUAUGCUAUCCGCUUCGUUUGUUUUUUUUUUAAAAAAAAAACUCAGAUAAAAAUGUGAAGCACUUUUAGGCUUUGAACAAAAAAUUUCAAGUACUAACCGCUAAAUUUUUUGCCACUUGUGUUUGAAACGGUCAGUGUAGAUAAGUAUAACUAAAAGGAAUAAUAGUAAUAGAACCAAAAUAGCUGACCUUUUCAUCUACUCAAUCGUUUACUUUGGUGUACAACAAGUAGCAUUUUUCAGAAUCAUUACUUUGCAGCUUCUACUUUGUCUGCUGAAAUUUUAUUUCUGUAGCUUGCUACAAGAAAAUAUCUUUAUUUUUUUAUGGCUAAAUUACAUAAAACUCUUUGUUAAAAUCUGAUUUUUCACUUUACCCUCCUGUCAUUUAAAAACCUACACUUUGUCCCCUUGUAAAAUGAAAAAUAUUCACUUCGCUCCCUACUGUUAGUAAUUUGUUAGGGUUCCCUUUAUAAAAUAUUAUUAUAUUUUUUUUUAUGCCCAAAAUGCUCUCAGUCUUCUCUCUUGUGAAUAUAUUGAGGGACAAAAUAGUGGGAGGUAAAAUGAUCAUUUUAUCAUCACAGUUUACACCGUACCCCCUGUGAACAUUUUUUUAUUUUACAAGGGAGCAAAAUGUAGAUUUUUAAAUGACAGGAGGGGAAAAUAAAAAAUUAAGUUUUGACAGGAAGAGUUUCUGUAAUUUAGUCUUUUUUUUUUCUUUUUUUUUGUUUUUUUAUCCUCGCAUUAGAAUUUUCAGUUUUGCAGUUGAAAUUUUAUUUCUUUUUCUU
rnacentral:lncRNA from 1 species